CAUCCUUAAUCUCUACAAAAUAUCAUGGAAGAAACCAUAAAUGUGUAAACAGAGCCUAGUUUCAGGAGAGCGUCUUCUGUGAACUGUCACCGGAGUCAAAUCCCGCCUGUGAGCAACACGGCACACCCCCUCACUAGGUUUAAUUCCUAAUUGUUGUCCAACAACAAAUUUUGCCGGGCAAUUGUAAUUCCGAUUAUCUUUUCCAUCCUGACAUUAUUGCUUACUAGUCGUGCGUCCGGUCAUGGCUGCUAGAGUCUUUGAAAGUCUAUUGGCAGAGUCCAUCUUGGAAGGUGAGGGCAACUUGCAUUUCAAAAGCUUGCAACUACAACACUUGAAAAACUAAUGUCGAGGAUAGAAGGGAAGGGAAAGUUUGACCAGGCAAGGUGGAGGCUAGUGUAUGCACCACAGAUAUGUUGAUCCUACUGUGGAUCCUCUCAAAUCCCUGGCCAGUAAUAUUUUGUUUGGUACUGAAGUUGAAGUCCAACUUGGGAAACAUCUUAUAGGAGAUAUUUGUCUCCUCCCGGCCUCAAUUGUUCGACAAAUGAAGGACUCGGAAAUGCAAUGAACAUUAAUCUACCAGCUUACCAGCCGCCUGCACGUUCAAAAUGCCUCAUUUUUUUAAUAUUCUGCUCUAAC